rnacentral:snoRNA from 1 species
CAGCUAUGAUGAAUUUUAUUCCAAUCAUUCGCAGUUUCCACCAUAAAGACUUCUCAGUCUUAAUGAUGGCUGAAGAUCCUUCCUUGGAUGUCUGAGCUG